rnacentral:rRNA from 1 species
UACGUAGGGUGCAAGCGUUAAUCGGAAUUACUGGGCGUAAAGCGUGCGCAGGCGGUUAUGCAAGGCAGAUGUGAAAUCCCCGGGCCCAACCUGGGAACUGCAUUUGUGACUGCAUGGCUAGAGUACGGUAGAGGGGGAUGGAAUUCCGCGUGUAGCAGUGAAAUGCGUAGAUAUGCGGAGGAACACCGAUGGCGAAGGCAAUCCCCUGGACCUGUACUGACGCUCAUGCACGAAAGCGUGGGGAGCAAACAGG